AGUGAACGCUGGCGGUAGGCCUAACACAUGCAAGUCGAACGGCAGCACAGUAAGAGCUUGCUCUUACGGGUGGCGAGUGGCGGACGGGUGAGGAAUACAUCGGAAUCUACUUUUUCGUGGGGGAUAACGUAGGGAAACUUACGCUAAUACCGCAUACGACCUACGGGUGAAAGCAGGGGAUCUUCGGACCUUGCGCGAUUGAAUGAGCCGAUGUCGGAUUAGCUAGUUGGCGGGGUAAAGGCCCACCAAGGCGACGAUCCGUAGCUGGUCUGAGAGGAUGGUCAGCGACACUGGAGCUGAGACAAGGUCCAGACGCCUAAGGGAGGCAGCAGUGGGGAAUAUUGGACAAUGGGCGCAAGCCUGAUCCAGCCAGACCGCGUGGGUGAAGAAGGCCUUCGGGUUGUAAAGACCUUUUGUUGGGAAAGAAAAGCAGCAGGUUAAUACCCCGCUGUUCUGACGGUACCCAAAGAAUAAGCACCGGCUAACUUCGUG
rnacentral:rRNA from 1 species